GUUUGCAGUAACAUGAGGGAAGUUGCUGAGAUGGUGCUUGUAUUAUCUGCUCUAGGGAAGAUGAGAGGAGGUAGAGGUCCAACUGUUGCAGAGAAGGAGAUGGUGGAGGAGGCUAGGGAGAGAUUAGCUGAGGUUUGUUUGAAGUUUGCGCCGAAGGAUGUGUUUCCGAGUGAUGGUUUUGGAAGUGUUAUUGAGGAUCUUGGGAUUAAUAAGCUGAC
rnacentral:misc_RNA from 1 species